rnacentral:rRNA from 1 species
AACGCUGGCGGCGUGCCUAAUACAUGCAAGUCGAGCGGACAGAUGGGAGCUUGCUCCCUGAUGUUAGCGGCGGACGGGUGAGUAACACGUGGGUAACCUGCCUGUAAGACUGGGAUAACUCCGGGAAACCGGGGCUAAUACCGGAUGGUUGUUUGAACCGCAUGGUUCAAACAUAAUAGGUGGCUUCGGCUACCACUUACAGAUGGACCCGCGGCGCAUUAGCUAGUUGGUGAGGUAACGGCUCACCAAGGCAACGAUGCGUAGCCGACCUGAGAGGGUGAUCGGCCACACUGGGACUGACACACCGCCCACACUCCUACGGGAGGCAGCAGUAGGGAAUCUUCCGCAAUGGACGAAAGUCUGACGGAGCAACGCCGCGUGAGUGAUGAAGGUUUUCGGAUCGUAAAGCUCUGUUGUUAGGGAAGAACAAGUACCGUUCGAAUAGGGCGGUACCUUGACGGUACCUAACCAGAAAGCCACGGCUAACUACGUGCCAGCAGCCGCGGUAAUACGUAGGUGGCAAGCGUUGUCCGGAAUUAUUGGGCGUAAAGGGCUCGCAGGCGGUUUCUUAAGUCUGAUGUGAAAGCCCCCGGCUCAACCGGGGAGGGUCAUUGGAAACUGGGGAACUUGAGUGCAGAAGAGGAGAGUGGAAUUCCACGUGUAGCGGUGAAAUGCGUAGAGAUGUGGAGGAACACCAGUGGCGAAGGCGACUCUCUGGUCUGUAACUGACGCUGAGGAGCGAAAGCGUGGGGAGCGAACAGGAUUAGAUACCCUGGUAGUCCACGCCGUAAA